rnacentral:rRNA from 1 species
AUCGUGUCUGCCUCAUACUUUUUAUCGUUGGCCUCAGAUCAGGGAGGAUCACCCGCCGAAUUUAA